rnacentral:rRNA from 1 species
CAAUCUACCUUUCCGACCGGGAUAACUAGCCGAAAGGUUAGCUAAUACCAGAUACGCUCAUUGAACGGCAUCGUUUGAUGAUGAAAGCAGUAAUGCGCGGAUUGAGGAGCCUGCGGCCCAUUAGCUAGUUGGUGAGGUAAUGGCCCACCAAGGCAACGAUGGGUAGCUGGUCUGAGAGGACGACCAGCCACACUGGGACUGAGACACGGCCCAG